rnacentral:rRNA from 1 species
GACGAACGCUGGCGGCGUGCUUAACACAUGCAAGUCGAACGGAAAGGUCCUGCUUUUGUUGGUUUCUCGAGUGGCGAACGGGUGAGUAACACGCGAGUAACCUGCCCUUGACUUUGGGAUAACUUCAGGAAACUGGGGCUAAUACCGGAUAUGAGCUCCUGCUCCAUGGUGUGGGUUGGAAAGUUUCGGCGGUUGGGGAUGUGCUCGCGGCUUAUCCGCUUGUUGGUGUGGUAGUUGCUUACCAAGGCUUUGACGGGUAGCCGGCCUGAGAGGGUUACCGGCGACAUUGGGACUGAGAUACGGCGCAGAAGCCUACGGGAGGCAACAGUGGGGAGUAUGGCACAAUGGGCGGAAGCCUGAGGCAGAAACGCCGCGUGCGGGAUGACGGGCUUCGGGUGGUAAACCGAUUUCGCCGGUAACGAGGAGUGAGUGACGGUAAUGGAUAAAGAAGCACCGGCUAACUACGUG